UACAGAGGGGGUGCAAGCGUUUUUUAAUCGGAUUUUACUGGGGGCGUAAAGGGGGCGCGUAGGCGGCUUUAACAAGUCACUUGUGAAAUCUCCGGGGGCUUAACUUCGGAACGGCCAAGUUGAAACUGUCAAGCUAGAGUGCAGAAGGGGGGGGCAAUCGGAAUUUCUUUUGGUGUAGCGGUGAAAUGCGUAGAUAUCAGGGAGGGGAACACCCGGGUGGGCGAAGGGCGGUCUC
rnacentral:rRNA from 1 species